AAGGGUAGUGAAACCAAUGGCGUCUCUACCUUCCUCUGCAACCAGUUUUCACUCUACUUUCAUUGGUUUUAACUAUAAGGCAAAGAAUCAAGAAUUUAUCUUCAUCGGGAAAGGCUCAAGCUUUACUUUUUCGAGGAGAAAAUUCUUUAUCAAAAGUGUUACCAGCGACCAAGAGCAGAUCCUCAAAGAUGAAGCUCAAGUCACUGAAGAUGCUUCUUUAGAUAUCUUUGUUCCUGAUCCUGCAUCCAUUGCAUCAAGUAUCAAAUACCAUAACGAGUUCACACCAUCUUUUUCUCCUAACCAUUUCAAGCUCCCCAAGGCGUUCUAUGCGACGGCUGAAAGCAUUCGCGAUUUGCUUAUCAUAAACUGAAAUGCUACAUACGAUUACUAUGACAAAAUCAAUAUAAAGCAAGCAUAUUAUCUUUCAAUGGAGUUUCUGCAGAGUAGAGCUUUGUUGAAUGCCAUUGGUAAUUUAGAGCUUACAGGAGCAUAUGAAGAAGCUUUGAAGAAACUUGGGCACAGUUUAGAAGAUAUAGCUAGGGAGGU